UGAUGUUAAUAACUCACAAACAUAUUUCUCCUAUGCUUACUGCUUACUGAAAAUAAAAAUGAUGAUGAUGAUUGAAUCUGGCAUAACUGGGCUGAAAAGCAUCCCAAUUGAUAUCCAGAUAAAUCGUGCAUGGUUAAAGGAAAAUGCAAAUGACAUAGCUAAGAUUAGCAAGUUGUAAACUUGAACAUUGAAGACUGAUGAUGUCAUCCCAUUAAUGUUGGAAUGCUGGUUGCCUUGCUCAAAUUUUGAACUUCUAUGUAUCGCUUUUCAUUUUGAACUUGACAAAAACAGGCUUGCUGUCAAAAUAUCACUCAACCAAUAAAACAACUAUUGCAAUCGCA